rnacentral:lncRNA from 1 species
AGAGGAAACAACACGGUUAAAGUUUUAGGUUUGAAAUUUAGAGUUUGUGGCGAAAUUGUCAGGGUUUAGGAAAAAUCAGGGUAGUUAGUUAUGAAAAAAUGUGCAGAUCUAAAUAUAUGUAUAUAUAUAAAAAAAAUGAAUUAAAAAAAACAACGGCGUUGCUAGCGCAAAAUUGCGAUCAUCGCAACUGGAUCGGAUAACACAAAUGUCACGCCUCAUACACGUAUAUGUGAAA